rnacentral:lncRNA from 1 species
GUUCUUGUCGGCCUCAUUUUUCCUUGUUCGGGGUUUGAGGUGCCACCUUACAAAAGGAUGGGUGUACGCUCUCUUUUCAGAAUGUGGUUCAUCUCAAAGCCCUUUACACUUUGGAGCCAGGCCUGUUCAAUUUUACAAAUAACACGUUUUGCUUGUAGUCAGGGUGCUGUGACAACAUGAAGAGUUCGAGCUACCUCCCAGGAUGAGUGCAGGUUUUCCUGGUGACAAAUCUCAGGCAUUCAAAGGUUCUGUUAGCAGUGCCAUACUUGUGGGUUUACAGAGAUGGUGUGUCUGGCUGAGAACAAAGGAGCCGUACCAGGAAAGUUGAAGCAUAUCUUCAUUUUCAAGUCCAGGCUAAAAUAAGGUGAGAAAACUUAGAUGAAAAGUAUGCUGAACUAUAAUUUCCCCAUGAAGAAAUGUUCACACGUCCUACUUCCUGUCCUAGCUCCAGAGCCUGAAAAGGUCUGAGGAAAAGAAUGAGCUGCGUGUGAAGGAUAGGAACAGAAAUCAUGAAAGAUCUGUUUGUCCAGGCCAGUGUUUCACCAUAAGAGAUCACUUUAAAAUAAAUGAUGAAAUAAUUCUUUGCAAUUGCAAAUUUACCUUCCUUGCUUACCACAUUGUUAACUGUAGGAGCUGAUACCUGGUUCUUCCACUGUUAACUUGUACUCUGUGUUUGUUCUAGCAAUAAAUGCUCUUUAUGCUA